rfam:Lupinus angustifolius cultivar Tanjil chromosome LG09, whole genome shotgun sequence.
AGGUGCGACCACAACAGCACUAAAGCACCGGAUCCCUUCAAAACUCCACAGUUAAUCGCGAUUGGGCGAGAGUAGUACUACGAUGGGUGACCUCCUGGGAAGUCCUCGUGUUGCACCUC